rnacentral:rRNA from 1 species
CAGCAGCCGCGGUAAUACGAGGGGGGCAAGCGUUGUUCGGAAUUAUUGGGCGUAAAGGGUGCGUAGGCGGCUUGACAAGUCUUGUGUGAAAUCUAUGGGCUCAACCCAUAGUCUGCACGGGAAACUGUCGGGCUUGAGAAUGGGAGAGGUGAGUGGAAUUUCCGGUGUAGCGGUGAAAUGCGUAGAUAUCGGAAGGAACACCUGUGGCAAAAGCGGCUCACUGGACCAUUUCUGACGCUGAUGCACGAAAGCUAGGGGAGCAAGCAGGAUUAGAUACCCCAGUAGUCCCUGUCUCUUAUAC